AGAGUUUGAUCUGGCUCAGAACGAACGCUGGCGGCAGGCUUAACACAUGCAAAUCGAGCGCCCCGCAAGGGGAGCGGCAGACGGGUGAGUAACGCGUGGGAACGUACUUUUGCUACGGAAUAACUCAGGGAAACUUGUGCUAAUACCGUAUGUGCCCUUCGGGGGAAAGAUUUAUCGGCAAAGGAUCGGCCCGCGUUGGAUUAGCUAGUUGGUGAGGUAAAGGCUCACCAAGGCGACGAUCCAUAGCUGGUCUAGAGGAUGAUCAGCCACACUGGGACUGAGACACGGCCCAGACUCCUACGGGAGGCAGCAGUGGGGAAUAUUGGACAAUGGGCGCAAGCCUGAUCCAGCCAUGCCGCGUGAGUGAUGAAGGCCCUAGGGUUGUAAAGCUCUUUCACCGGUGAAGAUAAUGACGGUAACCGGAGAAGAAGCCCCGGCUAACUUCGUGCCAGCAGCCGCGGUAAA
rnacentral:rRNA from 1 species